rnacentral:rRNA from 1 species
AGUGAACGCUGGCGGUAGGCCUAACACAUGCAAGUCGAACGGCAGCACAGUAAGAGCUUGCUCUUACGGGUGGCGAGUGGCGGACGGGUGAGGAAUACAUCGGAAUCUACUUUUUCGUGGGGGAUAACGUAGGGAAACUUACGCUAAUACCGCAUACGACCUACGGGUGAAAGCAGGGGAUCUUCGGACCUUGCGCGAUUGAAUGAGCCGAUGUCGGAUUAGCUAGUUGGGGGGGUAAAGGCCCACCAAGGCGACGAUCCGUAGCUGGUCUGAGAGGAUGAUCAGGCACACUGGAACUGAGACACGGUCCAGACUCCUACGGGAGGCAGCAGUGGGGAAUAUUGGACAAUGGGCGCAAGCCUGAUCCAGCCAUACCGCGUGGGUGAAGAAGGCCUUCGGGUUGUAAAGCCCUUUUGUUGGGAAAGAAAAGCAGCAGGUUAAUACCCCGCUGUUCUGACGGUACCCAAAGAAUAAGCACCGGCUAACUUCGUG